GCAAGUCGCACGAGAACGCUUCAGCUUGCUGAAGUAAGUAAAGUGGCGCACGGGUGAGUAACUCGUGGGUAAUCUACCCUUGAAUUGGGGAUAACCCGCCGUAAGGCGGGCUAAUACCGAAUGACAUCUUGAAAACUUAUGUUUUCAGGAUCAAAGGUGGCCUUUACAUGUAUGUAUUGUUUGGGGAUGAGCCCGCGUACCAUUAGCUUGUUGGUAGGGUAAUGGCCUACCAAGGCGACGAUGGUUAGCUGGUCUGAGAGGAUGAUC
rnacentral:rRNA from 1 species